UGGCGAGCCAGAAUUCAAAGGGAGGUCUGCGGGGCCCAGGGGUGCAGAGUGGCUGCUGCACGCUCUGACUUCUCGAAGGGGAGAGUCAUCGUUUAUCCCAUCCUCUGCAGUGUUCCGAGCCGUGCCGCCUGCUGCCCCAGAGUGGAGAGGUUUCCGGUGGGUACCCAAGCUGGUCAUGUCACAGCCCUGCUUGGAACCGUGGCUGUCAUCCCCAGGGUCAAGGGCUGCCCAGCUGGCAGAAGCGUUGGGAGGUCUGAAUAAUGAAUACAUGAAUAAAUUAUUAUUCACUAUGGUGAGAGAUGAGAACAGCACCAAAGUUUGAGUUGAGUUUGGAAGGCUAAAGAAACCAAACCGGAAAGGCUCUAGUUUCUAGAGGCUAGGAGAAGAGAAAGAACCAAGGAGCCUAAUUUAUCCUCCCGAGCAAGGGCAGGUGUAAGCCUAUGUGUCCUCAGAAGAGCCAGACAGUGGACCUCCUGCUUCCAGGAUCUCCGUGGGGGUGGAGAUGUCUUAGUGGACAUCUUUGUCAGGACAAACAAUGAAGAUGAGCAUAGCUGGCUGUCUUGACGCCAUCUGCCUACAAUCAGUCUGUCUAUGGCAAUCAGCGACCCUCUCCGACUCCUGCUUCUGUUUGUUCUAGUAACUCAAGACCACAAUGGUCACCUCCAUCCAUUCUUCCUGGCCAGUGAAUUGGUUCCCAAGAUUUGGAGAAUGCUUCAAAUGACCAGCAUGCUUCCUACAUGCUGCCUUUCCAUCAUCCACACGGCAAACAUUCACUGAACACCCAGUGUCUCCGAAACACCGAAACACCGUUGGGUGGCAGUGGCAUACUGAAGUCGCCCGGGGCCUCGAGGACUCAAAGCUAAUCCCUCCAGUUCCCUUCAUGUAAAGAGGAGACAUCGAGAAUGCAGCCCACACCUUCAAGGGACUUAAAGCCUCACGGGAUUAACCACCUGGCAAUGUGAUUGAGUGGGUCCCUUCCCUUCUCUGGGCCUUAGGCUCCUGCUGGGCGGUAACAGGGAGGAUAAGGCUCUCUGACCUUGAGUCCUUGCCCGGCCUCACAUAAUUCCAAAGUAGGUUCUACGCAU